rnacentral:rRNA from 1 species
AACACAUUAAGCAUUCCGCCUGGGGAGUACGGUCGCAAGACUGAAACUCAUAGGAAUUGACGGGGACCCGCACAAGCUGGGGAGUAUGUGGUUUAAUUCGAAGCAACGCGAAGAACCUUACCAGGUCUUGACAUCCAACUAACGAGGCAGAGAUGCGUUAGGUGCCCUUCGGGGAAAGUUGAGACAGGUGGUGCAUGGUUGUCGUCAGCUCGUGUCGUGAGAUGUUGGGUUAAGUCCCGCAACGAACGCAACCCUUAUAUUUAGUUGCCAGCAUUUCGGAUGGGCACUCUAAAUAGACUGCCGGUGACAAACCGGAGGAAGGUGGGGAUGACGUCAAAUCAUCAUGCCCCUUAUGACCUGGGCUACACACGUACUACAAUGGCCGGUACAACGGGCAGUGAAGCCGCGAGGUGGAACUAAUCCUAAAAAGCCGGUCUCAGUUCGGAUUGCAGGCUGCAACUCGCCUGCAUGAAGUCGGAAUUGCUAGUAAUCGCGGAUCAGCAUGCCGCGGUGAAUACGUUCCCGGGUCUUGUACACACCGCCCGUCACACCACGAGAGUUUAUAACACCCGAAGUCGGUGGGGUAACCGCAAGGAGCCAGCCGCCGAAGGUGGGAUAGAUGAUUGGGGUGAAGUCGUAACAAGGUAACC